GGGUGCGAUCAUACCAACGUUAAUGCACCAGAUCCCAUCAGAACACUGCAGUUAAGCACACUUGGGCUAGAGUAGUACUGGGAUGGGUUACCUUUCGAGAAGUCCUAGUGUUGCACCCU
rnacentral:rRNA from 1 species